UGAGGACGAACCCUGCACAUUCCGCCCCAUUCAAUGAAAUUCACCUCCCCAUCGUUUUAAUUUACAAAAUAUAAUUUGGAUACAUAAUAAUUAGGACUAAAAAAUUAUCGGACCCAAGCAAAAAAUUAAUUUUCUGACCCAAGAAAAUCGCAUUUGACCCAAGAAACCUCGCAUUUCCGGUGAAAUUAUAUAAAAUUCUGAUUAUAACAAAAAAUAAAAAUCAACUCCCCAUUUUUUCUUUUUUUACAAAAUAUUCUUUGGAUAUAUAAUAAUUAGGGCUAAAAAACUAUCUGACCCAAGCAAAAAAACUGGCGGACACUGUCCGUACAACUGUAUAAGCAUGCGUGAUGCUAUAUUCCUUUUUUUAUAGUAGCUCCUUUUUAUACAAUAGACCUCGCAAAUAUCGGUGUUUUCUUGUCAUUUUACUUGUCUAACCAACCAGCAAUUGUACCGCGGCAUACACAGUGCGCGGUGCGGCGGGAACCAAUCAUACUGGUUAUCGCGAAGACAACUUCCCAAUCAAUCAAGCGAACUUGUAAAAAAAAAAAA